AAAGGAAACUCUGAGUCUCAUCCAACACAUCUCUGCAAGAGUCUCAUCCAAUCCAUCUUUGAGAGAGUCCAACACAUCUUUGCAAGAGUCUCCAUCCACAUCUGAAGGGAGUCUCAUCAACCAAGAGCUUUAGAAGUUCAUCACAAGGAGAUCACGCUUGCUCCGAGACUCCGCAUCCAGACUGGCUCUUUCAAAGCCUCCAACUCUCGCCUUCGCACCGCUGUGAACCAUUCGUGAAAGCUUUGCAACCCGCCUACGAGACUCCGCCGGGUUCGCGCCUCACUCUGUUUAUCUUCUCCAUUGGUCUUUCGAGACGCUACAUAAGGCCAACCAGACCAAUAAGGCCAAUCAUCAUGGCCGGAAACUCCUUCCAAACGACAACACAACGAGGGAAUCCCUGGCAACACAAACAGGGUCACAGGGAGUCUGGAGCCUCUCCCAGGGGACUUUGGACACAAGAUCGCGGAGAAUACACACGUAACUGCUGACGAUGAUUCCAUACGGGAGCAGGAACCCCACCACUGUCUCCAUGCUCAGAGCAGGGAUGGCAAGCGUAAAGACGAGCACCCAGAGCAUGGCGAGGAUGCUCAGUAUGUUUCUCCUCCGCGUGAAGACGUAAGCACGGUCGCAGCACGGUGACCAGCCGGUGCACACUCAUGAGUGUGAUGAGCAU